AGAGUUUGAUCCUGGCUCAGAUUGAACGCUGGCGGCAGGCUUAACACAUGCAAGUCGAACGAUGAAAUCUAGCUUGCUAGAUGGAUUAGUGGCGAACGGGUGAGUAAUGCUUAGGAAUCUGCCUAUUAGUGGGGGAUAACCAUCCGAAAGGAUGGCUAAUACCGCAUACGUCUUACGAGAGAAAGGGGGCUUUUAGCUCUCGCUAAUAGAUGAGCCUAAGUCGGAUUAGCUAGUUGGUGGGGUAAAGGCCUACCAAGGCGACGAUCUGUAGCUGGUCUGAGAGGAUGAUCAGCCACACUGGGACUGAGACACGGCCCAGACUCCUACGGGAGGCAGCAGUGGGGAAUAUUGGACAAUGGGCGAAAGCCUGAUCCAGCCAUGCCGCGUGUGUGAAGAAGGCCUUUUGGUUGUAAAGCACUUUAAGUGGGGAGGAAAAGCUUGUGGUUAAUACCCAUUAGCCCUGACGUUACCCACAGAAUAAGCACCGGCUAACUCUGUGCCAGCAGCCGCGGUAAUACAGAGGGUGCAAGCGUUAAUCGGAAUUACUGGGCGUAAAGCGAGCGUAGGUGGUUACUUAAGUCAGAUGUGAAAGCCCCGGGCUUAACCUGGGAAUUGCAUCUGAUACUGGGUGACUAGAGUAGGUGAGAGGGAAGUAGAAUUCCAGGUGUAGCGGUGAAAUGCGUAGAGAUCUGGAGGAAUACCGAUGGCGAAGGCAGCUUCCUGGCAUCAUACUGACACUGAGGUUCGAAAGCGUGGGUAGCAAACAGGAUUAGAUACCCUGGUAGUCCACGCCGUAAACGAUGUCUACCAGUCGUUGGGUCUCUUGAAGACUUAGUGUCGCAGUUAACGCAAUAAGUAGACCGCCUGGGGAGUACGGCCGCAAGGUUAAAACUCAAAGGAAUUGACGG
rnacentral:rRNA from 1 species